rnacentral:snRNA from 1 species
AGCUUUGUGCAGUGGCAGUAUCGUAGCCAAUGAGGUUUAUCUGAGGCAUGAUUAUUGCUAAUUGAAAACUUUUCCCAAUACCCCGCCAUGACGACUUGAAAUAUAGUUGGCAUUGGCAAUGUUUGACAGUCUCUAUGGAGA